ACCUUCAUGGACCACGUGCAUUCUCCUUUUUUGUUGUUCUUUUAAUAUUUGUUUGUAUAAAAAUUUCAUUCCAAAAGAGAGAAAGUUCGAAAGAAUUGGAUUAAAUCCCCCAAUCACGCACGAUCAUGAGAUGAUAGAUAAACAGAAGCAGCAUGGCGAAGGCUUCUUCUUCUCUACCUUCUCUGUGUAACCUUGUACAGCCAUCUAAAGAUCCGUUGUAGUACUCGUCUUCGUAGGAUCAUGCAAGUAAGAGCUCAGAGCUUAGAUGAAGAAGGUAGAUCAAGGAAUAUUGUGGAUGCAAAUUUGAGUGUUUUAAGAGAGAAGAUGGAAGUCGUGAAGAUGAGGGAGAGACUUGAGAAAUAUUGCUGCAAACGUCAACAAAAUGGUUGGAAUUAUUCACCGGGAUAUAAUUACAAACUCAGAAGAGCAAGAGAUGUAUCGACGUUCUUUGAGCUCAUACGUUUAGUGGGCGUGACUCUUGGUUUUACCUGUUUUAGUGCCACAUUCCUCCUUGUCCUUGUAUCAAUCUUGGUUCACUUGAAUCCAUGGUAAUGCUACAUGUAUGGAUGAACGACGUCUGUCUUUGGAUAAGAAAAGGGGUAAAUUAUGUUUUACUACCUCAAUUUUGGAUCACAUAACAAACCCAUACCUCAUCUUUUGAACAUGGCAAUGUCAUACAUCAACUUAUGAAUUCGUUGCAAUGACAUUGCAAUGUUCAAAAGAUGAGAUAUGAGUUUGUUAUGUGACCCAGAGUUGAGGUGGUAACAUGUAAUUUACCCUAAAAUUUACUUAGAAAGCAGAAGUAUCAACAACAGCACCGCAUGCAUGCACUAGCUUUUAAAAAUUAGGUGUCUUCUCUUUUCCAA